rnacentral:rRNA from 1 species
AUUGAACGCUGGCGGCAUGCUUUACACAUGCAAGUCGAACGGUAACAGGCCUUCGGGUGCUGACGAGUGGCGAACGGGGGAGUAAUGCAUCGGAACGUACCCAGAGGUGGGGGAUAACGCAGCGAAAGCUGUGCUAAUACCGCAUGUGAUCUGAGGAUGAAAGCGGGGGACCGAGCAGCAAUGUUUGGCCUCGCGCCUUUGGAGCGGCCGAUGUCGGAUUAGCUAGUUGGUGGGGUAAAGGCCUACCAAGGCGACGAUCCGUAGCCGGUCUGAGAGGACGACCGGCCACACUGGGACUGAGACACGGCCCAGACUCCUACGGGAGGCAGCAGUGGGGAACUUUGGGCAAUGGGCGCAAGCCUGAUCCAGCAACGCCGCGUGCGGGAGGAAGGCCUUCGGGUUGUAAACCGCUGUUGGCAGGAACGAAACGGUGUCCGCUAAUACCGGGAGCUAAUGACGGUACCUGCAGAAUAAGCACCGGCUAACUACGUG